rnacentral:rRNA from 1 species
UACGUAGGGGGCUAGCGUUGUCCGGAAUCAUUGGGCGUAAAGCGCGCGUAGGCGGCCCGGUAAGUCCGCUGUAAAAGUCAAAGGCUCAACCUUUGAAUGUAAGUGGAUACUGCCGGGCUAGAGUCCGGAAGAGGCGAGUGGAACUCCUGGUGUAGCGGUGGAAUGCGCAGAUAUCAGGAAGAACACCAACGGCGAAGGCAGCUCGCUGGGACGGUACUGACGCUGAGACGCGAAAGCGUGGGGAGCGAACAGG